rnacentral:rRNA from 1 species
CACGGAGUUAGCCGGAGCUUAUUCUCCCGGUACUGUCAUUAUCAUCCCGGGUAAAGAGCUUUACAACCCUAAGGCCUUCAUCACUCACGCGGCAUUGCUGGAUCAGGCUUUCGCCCAUUGUCCAAUAUUCCCCACUGCUGCCUCCCGUAGGAGUCUGGGCCGUGUCUCAGUCCCAGUGUGGCUGAUCAUCCUCUCAGACCAGCUAAGGAUCGUCGGCUUGGUGCGCCUUUACCACACCAACUACCUAAUCCUACGCGGGCUCAUCCCUCGGCGAUAAAUCUUUGGACUUACGUCAUCAUCCGGUAUUAGCAGUCGUUUCCAACUGUUAUUCCGAACCAAGGGGCAGAUUCCCACGCGUUACGCACCCGUGCGCCACUAAGGCCGAAGCCUUCGUUCGACUUGCAUGUGUUAGGCAUGCCGCCAGCGUUCAUUCUGAGCCAGGAUCAAACUCU